rnacentral:lncRNA from 1 species
UAGAAGCAAGAUAUCAAGUUUUCUAGAUUUUAGCAAUAAACAAAUCAGAAUCAAAUAACAAAAUCAAAGACUCGUACAUCAAAAUUUUCCAAAUUUAUCAAAUACCCAUUUCCUUGAAUCUAUUGAUUAUCAAAACCCAUAUGACUAAAAACCUCUAAUCAGUAUAAUCAAAGACCAUUUUCAUUGUUCUUCCCAAAAAAUCUUACAUAUAAAAAUAAAAAAAUAAAAAAAUGUGUGCGUGGUAACAUGUGGAAGGGAGGGAACAUUUAGACCGAUGUGUUUAUCUUUCUGUCCUGAGCUGAUCUUUAGUUGAUACACAUAGAUCAGAUCAGCAAAAUCUACAUUCAAUAAGCGGAUUUGGAUUUUCAAAGAUGUAAAAGAAGAAAAACGACAUCGUCAACGUACCAAUAGUGUAAGAGAAGAGAUGAUUUUGGAUAGUAGAAGAAAUGAAGAAGAAUAAAGAUUUAGGGUUCGCCACAGAUAAUAUCUAUCAACGUACCAAUAGUGCAAGAGAAGAUAUGAUUAAAAGAUAGUGAUUUUGGUGGCAAAAGAACAGCUGCAGAGAAAAUGAAAACAUGUAUGAAAGUAUGAAGAGAGAUAUUGAGAUUGCGUGUGGAAACGAGGAAAAUGAAUGAAAAGAGAGAGUUAACCACACAAACAAAAGGAAAAUCAAAUUUUUAAACCAACCCACUUACACACAACUCGGCUAUCACGGCUCAUUCCAAAGCGUCUAGGCCUACAUGGCCAUUCAGCUUAUGAACAUUAGCCAUAUGUACUCUUUUAUAUUUACUACUAGUGAAUGCACGUGCAACGCAUUAGUGGGUGAUGUAGUGUAAGAAAUAAUGUUGAAAUUCGGUUGUGGUACUUCAACAAAAAAUGAAACUUAUUUGAAGGAUGAUUACAUUGAAUUAUAUAAAAUAUGUGUUCACAGGUACUUACAUUGGCGGUGGUAAUAUGAAGUAAAAACCAGAGCCCUUACAUGUUAAUAUGUAUAAUGAACAAAAUCAAGUAUGGCAAAUAGAGAUGUUGUAGAAUCUGAAUUGAGAGAUGCUAGGGCUCGAACCCAGACCAGGUUCUGCUCAAGGCAAUGGAUGACUGUCAAUUACUGUUAGGUGAGGCAGAAAUUUGACAAGUUUGGACAAGGAAAAUUAAGUUUACCAUUUGAGCAUAUAAUGCACAAGAACAAUAGAUUUGGAUAUAAAAUACAUUAACGAUAUUGAAGUGGUGUUCCUCUUUCAAAAGAAGGGUAUAUCUACAUGUUUAGAAUCCAAUUUUAUACAUGUUUUCAUUUAUAUAUUCUGGAAGUUGCUACAUUUGAGACUUAAAAAUAUUACAACUUGAAUGAAUUAAAUCUAGCAAUCUCGUUUUCAAAUGAAGAAAGAGUUUGAGAGGACAUUAUGUGCUCUUAAUUUAGAUUAAAAAAUUGAUAAACAGAUGUUUAAAGUUAAUGAUUUUGAUUUAUUGUGGAUCAAAGUUUCAAAUAAAGGAACUUAAACUAUGUGAGAAGAUUUACCUUGGGAUCCAUUAACCAAAUGUGUUGGUAUUUCAAUGGACUAUUCCGAGCUUUGUUGAGAGAGCAUUUUUCUGAAACUACUGCUUCUACAAUCCAGCCAGACUCUCCAGGUUUGAUGUCAGGUAUGCGUUUGUGUUAUGUUGCCAUUUCUAUCUGCAAUGAAUUCUAUUUGAU